rnacentral:rRNA from 1 species
UACGUAGGGUGCAAGCGUUGUCCGGAAUUAUUGGGCGUAAAGAGCUCGUAGGCGGUCUGUCGCGUCAGCUGUGAAAACCUGGGGCUCAACCCCGGGCCUGCAGCCGAUACGGGCAGACUAGAAUUCGGUAGGGGAGACUGGAAUUCCUGGUGUAGCGGUGAAAUGCGCAGAUAUCAGGAGGAACACCGGUGGCGAAGGCGGGUCUCUGGGCCGAUAUUGACGCUGGAGGAGCGAAAGCGUGGGGAGCAAACAGG